UACGUAGGGUCCGAGCGUUGUCCGGAAUUACUGGGCGUAAAGAGUGCGUAGGUGGUGCCCUAAGUCUGUUGUGAAAUCUCCCGGCUUAACUGGGAGGGUGCGGUGGAAACUGGGGUGCUUGAGUGUGGGAGAGGUAAGCGGAAUUCCUGGUGUAGCGGUGAAAUGCGUAGAUAUCAGGAAGAACACCCGUGGCGAAGGCGGUUCUCUGGGACGGUACUGACGCUGAGACGCGAAAGCGUGGGGAGCGAACAGG
rnacentral:rRNA from 1 species